CGAACGAUGAAGCCGCUUCGGUGGUGGAUUAGUGGCGAACGGGUGAGUAACACGUGGGUAAUCUGCCCUGCACUCUGGGAUAAGCCUUGGAAACGAGGUCUAAUACCGGAUAUGACACACGAAGGCAUCUUCUGUGUGUGGAAAGUUCCGGCGGUGCAGGAUGAGCCCGCGGCCUAUCAGCUUGUUGGUGGGGUAGUGGCCUACCAAGGCGACGACGGGUAGCCGGCCUGAGAGGGUGACCGGCCACACUGGGACUGAGACACGGCCCAGACUCCUACGGGAGGCAGCAGUGGGGAAUCUUGCGCAAUGGGCGAAAGCCUGACGCAGCAACGCCGCGUGGGGGAUGACGGCCUUCGGGUUGUAAACCUCUUUCGACAGGGACGAAGCUUUCGGGUGACGGUACCUGUAGAAGAAGCACCGGCUAACUACGUGCCAGCAGCCGCGGUAAUACCUAGGGUGCGAGCGUUGUCCGGAUUUAUUGGGCGUAAAGAGCUCGUAGGCGGUUUGUCGCGUCGGCCGUGAAAACCUGCAGCUUAACUGUGGGCGUGCGGUCGAUACGGGCAGACUUGAGUUCGGCAGGGGAGACUGGAAUUCCUGGUGUAGCGGUGAAAUGCGCAAAUUUCAGGAGGAACACCGGUNGCGAAGGCGGGUCUCUGGGCCGAUCCUGACGCUUA
rnacentral:rRNA from 1 species